GGAGAGAGAGCACGAACAGAGAAGGGGCAGAGAGAGGGAGACACAGAAUCCGAAGCAGGCUCCAGGCUCUGAGCUGUCAGCACAGAGCCCGAUACGGGGCUCGAACUCACAAACCGUGAGAUCAUGACCUGAGCUGAACUUGGACACUUAACCGACUGAGCCACCCAGAUGCCCCUAAACGGUCAGUUUUUCAUUCAUGAUAUAGGUAAUGGAACAGGAACUUAAAACUACUUUUCAUUCAGUGUCCUUAUUACUGAGUUUUUCUUCACGCACCUAUCUGCCACCAAUGCCAGAUCCUGUGGCUUAGUGCCCCUGGGAACAAGGGCUUAAGGGAAGUCCUACCCCAUAAAAAGAAGCUCUUGAGAGGAGGAGAGUGAGGGCUGAAGAGGAAGGCAGAGACAGCAGAUGCUGGUGUGCUCACUUUCUCCUCCCGUUGGCGUUAUCCAUGGAAAGCCAGGAGUAAAGCAUCACCAGAGCAAGCACUGAGCUGAGUUACUUCCUGGGCAGAGGGAUACCCAGCAAGGGACUACUUUUCCGAGGAUUUCAACCGACAAUCUCGCAGGUCAAAUUUGGAUCCAACUUGUUAUCGAGCCGUGGACUGCUUCUUCCCCCAGAAUGGAGAAGGGGCUCGCCUUCCAUCACAGAAACAUUCACAGGUGACAGCAGGAAGGGGAACAAACACACUUGACUUUCUUGUCUGUGCCUUAGAAUUGUGUCGAGCAGCUGAGCACAGUCAUUUUGGUGUGAAACCAGCAGAAGGUGAGUACUGAGGGUUCAGUCACUUGAUUCGGUAACAGGUGCUGUUUAUAGCACCCAAGUUCUUUCCUGGAACCUCUUUGUAUUUGUGACGCGGGCCAUGUGCUAAGAGUGCAGCCAUGCCAUGUUUUGUCACCAUGUGACACACCAGUGGCAGACACGGCCUUUGGUUUAGACAUGAUGGAAUCAUGGGCCCCUCCUCUGCCCACCCAACCUUCUGCCCUGAGCGAUUAAGGCUGUCAGGGUAACCGGCUCACAUCCUGUUAGGAGGAAUUACCGUGAUCACUAAUGGGUAGUUAGGGGUGGCAUUCCAGUUUCAGGGCUUUCAUGGGCCUUGAAAACUAGUGAGAAAAUAUCCGUUUAUCAGCCAGUCAUUUAAAGGACACCACACGGAACGAUGUUUCAAGACUUCCAAAUGCAUAGAAGUCAUAUAUCAUAAUGGAGCGUAAAAGUUACACGUGAAUAGGCUGUAAAACUGAACAACUGUUUACCUCAGUGAAGGUUUUAUUUACAUGCCCUCCAGCAGAUACUUAACUGUACUUCUUACGAAUCUGCCGAUCACAGGCUUCAAGCAGAGCCUGAUUAAGUUGUGCCGGAUUGGGUAGACGUCAAUUGCAGUGUGAUUUUAGGGGCUCAGAGAAGGCCUCUCUGGCUCCCUCCAAAACUCAUUUUGCUUGCUUGAUGCUUCACAUUUCUUGAAAGGGAAGCUUUAUUCUUAUAAUUACAGAAAAUUCAAUUUGACCAAUUCAACAUCGAAAUCAACAUGAAAUACACAAAUAGCUGCAUUCUUUGCGGAGCGCUUGCAUAGUGGCCUCUUCUUUAUCCUCAAACACUCCAAUAAGUUGGAUCAUUGCCCUCAAUUAUGAGGAGGGUCCUGUGACUUGGAGAAGUUAAGUGGCUUUGUCUGAGGGCACAUGAAGGGCAUGGCAGAACUGCCUCCUUCGUGAUGUUUCCACGAGAGCAAGCCUCUUGCGUUAAAUACCUUACAGGAGGAAGUCCACGACUUAAACGCAUACGAGCCUGAGAGCCAGUUGUGAAAGGUGGAGAUGUAAACGGGAGCAUUGGGUCAGCAGUCUUCCUGGGCCCUACUCAGCUGGGGCAGGCGCUGAGGUCCCCUCCUGUGCAGUGCCCCUUGCCCGUUCCCCGGUUGGCCCUGCCCAUUGCCCCAGCGGACCAUGAGUGUGCAUAUGCACUUCCUCCAAGCUUGCUGAGCUCACCUCAUCCCACGUUCACAGUCCCUACUGGGACCAGAGCCCCGCUCCAACCCUCAGGUCCUUGGAUAAAGUCCUGGAAACCUGCCACUUCCUUGCCAGUUUUCUCCCCCAGGAAGCUAAGCUGCAUUCCUUCUGCUCUCACCCUCAGCUGGGAUUUCAUUUCUCUGGACAAAUCUGUCAGAAUUGGAUGCUGAUUGUUGCCUUUUCCCUUUGAUUCCUGCUUUUUCAGGAACUACCAGUUCCUUCAUUCCCUGAACUCAUUUUUAUGGAGUACCUACUACAUACAAGACACAGUCUGGAGUUGAUUUCCCAUGGCUCUCAAGCUGCCAGCUCACGUUCAAUUUCCCACCAGUCCAGUUGUGUUAAGGAAUCAGUGGCUUGAUCAGCUUCAUUUUAGAAGCUUUCUGAGAUGGUGGGGUGUUUUUCCUUCUUUCCCAUGCUUUUGGAACCCUGCCAAAGCAAAUGAAGGAUUAAGCCAGAAGAUUCCAUUGGACCUCUGACCUCUUUCCUGCCCACCUGGAGGAAUUUGAGGCAGGUCCUGGAGCAGAGCAGAUCUAGGAUGCUUCUGAAGACCGACAUAGCUUCAUCAGGAGGAGCUGAGACACCAUAAUUUGGGAAAUGUGAAUCUUUUGCCCAUCUAUUCAGGACUUGUGAAGACAGAGAUGAGCCUUCUGCUUCCAGUGAUCAUGGGGCCCCCAGAUGAAGCCAGCCUCAGGAUAAUAAACCAGUUUCUGGUUAGGUACGAUUAUGAAAUAAUUGGACUCGGAACAAAUAAAGCUCGAGAUGUAGACCGUGUCCCCAGAAGAGGCGUCGGAGUGGAGAUGGUGGUUGAGGAACCACUGGGAAUGCUUCACUGCAGGCCAUGUUUCUGAGAUCCGGGCAGUUUUCAAGCCGCCUUCAAUGAGAUUCAUUCAUCAUUGCUGUGAAGCAAAUAGUGCCCGUUUUGCAGAGGGGGCAUGGAAGCUGAAGAAAUGCCCUUUCCCCUUCACCUGAAAUAUAAGCCAUUGGAAAGAGCAGUGUCUGGGAAUGACUAGACCCGUAUUUGUGUCCCACUUCUGUCACCUGGGAGCCUCAGGCAAGUGUUCAGCCUCUCUGCUGCAGCUGGUCCUGGGUCAGUUGAAGUCCGUACACUAUGACCUCCCCCAGGGUGGGAAAUAUAGCUUGUUUAUAGUGCUUGACAUAACGGAAGCAAAUUUAGUAAGCAUUUAGGACUUCAUACCUUUAAGUGUUGCUGAAACACAUCCUCGUACACACACAUCCAUCACCAACAAAUAUCACUGCAGGGAGUGGCAAAUAUGUCUUGCAUUACUUAAUAUAAUCAUUAUAAGAACUCUGCAAUGAAACUAUUACUAACAUCACUAUUUUGCAAGAUAAAACUGAACCACACUGAAGCUAAUGUAACAUUACAUGUCAACAAUACUUCAACAAAAUAAACUGAGGCAC